rnacentral:lncRNA from 1 species
AGCCAAACGAUCACAGAUUCUCAACUUAAUUUGGCAAUAAGACUGUAGCUCAUAACUGGGGUUCAACGUGGGGUGGCCUUUGUUACUCAGAGUUCUUCAAAGAGACUCUCCUGGCACCGGGAGGUUGUUCGAGGCCAUGCAUUCUGGUUCUUACUAAUCUGCUGAACUGGAAUGAGUAGUUCUGAAUCCCUUUACAAUCUGACACUUCACCCGGGAAAUCACACAGCCUCUUUUUAGAGGCUUUAAUUCCUACCCACUGGAAUCCACGGGCAACGGUGAGUUGAGAAUGGUGUUUCUUUUAUUUUAACUCCAAAAAUAAUCUGCCCUGGUAGCAAAUGGGAUGCUUUCGCCACUCCUCACGUAAGGUCGAAAGUUAGCAGCUGCUUUUGACUGUUGUGUGAGGCCGAGGGACCGCCGAGGACACGCCCCGAGGAGCCUGGGUCCCGCUCUUGAGUGCAGUGGGCUCUGGAGAGGAGGAGGAGGUGUGGAUAGGAGAGCAACUCACCUUCGUCUCUCUGUCAGUGAUGAAAACACAUGAAGCUUGCCCUUUUGUAAUGUCAACAGAAAAUUAUGCCUCCAACACAAACCCAGGCCAUUAAGGAGGCGGCUUUUAUUCCUGCUCAUAACGUGGGGAACAGAAGGCGGGGCACCAUGCGCCUCCCCAGCUGUUGCCGGGGAAGCCGGCGCGGAGCCGGCCGCAUCUGGAUGGCGUCUUUGAAGAGGCAUUAAUCUGUGGCUGAGGGACGCUAAGCCUCUCUGCUUUUCUUUGCUGCUUCUCAGGCUAAUGCUGCUUCUGCAAAGCUGUAGCGACUUCAUGUCCACGGGGGAGAUGAAGGAACAAUUACAGACGGUGAUACCAAGAUGCAUUUGGGCAAAAAUAAAGGGCAGGACAGAAGCGCUGUGCCUUGAUCAGUCCGGCAGAAGAUUCGCUUUUCCCCGCCUGAAAGGUGCCGCCCAGCUGGCAGCGCAAUGGCAGGAGCCCGGGCUACGCGAGCGCGGGGUGGAUGUUGGAGGGGAAGGCCGGGAGCUGGCUCCGUGGAAAAGGCUCCUGCGUGUCUCGGAACAUGUUGCUGGGUCGGUGGAUUUCGCUGCUCAUUUUUGUGGAUGAAACAUGCAUGUUACAUUACAUAAGGGAUCAGGUGGAAGAAUGAACAGGUUGGCUUAAGCACACGUCCUGGCUGGUGCUCGGAGAGUGGGCAUUUCUUUCUGCCACACUGAGGAGCUGCCUCCUCAGACGGACGUGACAUGACUUUCUCGGCUUCUCACUGUCACAGCGCGAGAGGCGGGGGCCUGAGACCCGACGCUGCCCAGGUCACAGCAGCGGGCGGCGUGCCGGCAGGUGCGCGCCUGUUAGACCCGGCGUGAGUGUAGUUUAACAACGAAUCUGCAGGCUGCCUGCCGUCAUGCACGUGGCCAUCGCUUCAGCUUUGCUCCUUUCCAGGUUUCGGGAUGCUCGGGGUGAAUGGGGAGGCGGCCGCCCCAAGGGAGGACCCAGGCAGCGUCGGCCUCCCGCUUGGGGUCCCUUCCCAGACCCUCGCCUGAACGAGUGGGACAGCUCCUGCCCCCCAGCGCGUCCCCAGGCUCCGGGAUGGUCACUGUCCAGGAGGCGCUUGGCCCUGCUCACCCGCCCGUUCUGCCCAUCCCUUGAGAACUCCGCGAUUUCGAAACUUUCCUGAUCUUUCUGCCGGAAGUAAUUUGUUCUACGUGAAACCACGGGCCACUCCUUCAUAUCUGUAGAGCGCUCUACCUUCUGUAACGUUUAUCUGCGAAACUGCUGCGUUAGGCCAGGAGCACUCCAAGAGCGAGAGGCAGACGCCGUCUGACUUUUCACCCUGACAGGGGACUUUUCCACCUGGCAGUGCCAAUAUCCGGCUCCUACGCAUUCUCCAUGGAGGAUCACCAGUCCAGUGCCCUUUACACGGUGAAAAACGUGAAUACAAGCCAUCAGUAGAAAAAGAAGACCCUCUGAAACAGGAAUUUCCAAGACAGUGCAUUGAGGAAGUCCAAGGAGGAAAGGAUGGGGAAUAGAAGACAGCAGCGAACAGGACUGGGGACUGUCACAGGAGCCAGAGAAAGGGCUGAUUCUAAGAGGAAGGAGACACCAAAAAUGUAAAAGGGUGCAAAAAUACUGGAGAGAGGAGGCCUUUAUGAUGGCCACUGGGUGGGGGCAUUGGCAGCCACCAAGGCCUCUGAGAGAGCAGAAAAUGUGGUUCCACCAAACACUCUUCUGGAACCUGCUCUUUUUUUUGUAAGGUGAGCUGAGCACUUAGAAGGAUCUUCCUAAAAUAUCCCCUUAUGAAAGAUUUCUAAUAACCCUUUCUCUCUGUCAUCUUCAUUAACCACUAAUUUUAAAUUUUUAAAUUUUUAAUUUUUAUUGUGGUAAGAGAAACACAUAACAUGAAGUUGCCCUCAUACUAGAUGUUUGCAACAUGGCAUAGUAUUGCUAAUUACAUACAUGGGGCUGUACAGCACGCCUCCAGGGCUCUUCCAUCUCACGUGGCUGAAACUCUCCACGUUCCUCCCCCAACCCCUGGCAACCACUAUUCUAGUCUCUGUGUCUAUAAGUUUGACUGUUUUAGAGACCUCAUAUAGGUAGACUCAUACAGUAUUUGUCAUUUUGUGACUGGCUUAUUUCACUUAGUAUAAUGUCCUCAAGGUUAAUCUGUAUUGUAGCAUGUGACAGGGUGCCCCUUUUAAAAGGUGGAAUGAUAUUCCAUUAUUUGUGUAUACACUUUCUUUAUCCAUUCACUUCCCAGUGGCCAUUUAGAUUGCCUCCACCUCUUGGCCAUUGCAUAUAAUGCUGCAAUGAACACAGUGUAGAUACUUCUUGGAGAUCCUGUUUUCAUUUUUUUUUCUGAUGAAUACUUAGAAGUGGGAUUGCUGGAGCAUAUGGCAGUUCUGUUUUUAAGGCUUUGAGGAACCUCCAUGCUGUUUUCCAUAGUGGGUGAACCAUUUUACAUUCCACAGCAGGUGCACCAUUUUAUAUUGCAUAGUGGGUGCACCAUUUUACAUUCCAUAGCAGGUGAACAAUUUUACAUUCCAUAGUGGGUGAACCAUUUUACAUUUCAUAGUGGGUGCACCAUUUUACAUUCCAUAGCAAGUGAACCAUUUUACAUUCCAUAGCGGGUGAACAAUUUUACAUUCCAUAGUGGGUGAACCAUUUUACAUUCCAUAGUGGGUGAACCAUUUUACAUUCCAUAGUGGGUGAACCAUUUUACAUUCCAUAGCGGGUGAACAAUUUUACAUUCUAUAGCGGGUGAACCAUUUUACAUUCCAUAGUGGGUGCACCAUUUUACAUUCCAUAGCAAGUGAACCAUUUUACAUUCCAUAGCGGGUGAACAAUUUUACAUUCCAUAGCGGGUGAACCAUUUUACAUUCCAUAGCGGGUGAACCAUUUUACAUUCCAUAGUGGGUGAACCAUUUUACAUUCCAUAGCGGGUGAACCAUUUUACAUUCCAUAGCGGGUGAACCAUUUUACAUUCCAUAGCGGGUGAACCAUUUUACAUUCCAUAAUGGGUGAACCAUUUUACAUUUCAUAGCGGGUGAACUAUUUUACAUUCCAUAGCGGGUGAACCAUUUUACAUUCCAUAGCGGGUGAACCAUUUUACAUUCCAUAGCAGGUGAACCAUUUUAUAUUCCAUAGCGGGUGCACCAUUUUAUAUUGCAUAGUGAGUGAACCAUUUUACAUUCCAUAAUGGGUGAACCAUUUUACAUUUCAUAGCGGGUGAACAAUUUUACAUUCCAUAGCGGGUGAACAAUUUUACAUUCCAUAGCGGGUGAACCAUUUUACAUUCCAUAAUGGGUGAACCAUUUUACAUUCCACAGCAGGUGCACCAUUUUACAUUCCAUAGCGGGUGCACCAUUUUACGUUCCUGCCAACAGUGCACAGUGGCUUCAAUAUCUCCUCCUCCUCACCAACACUUGCUACCUUCUGUUUCUUGAUAAUGGCCAUCUUAGUAGGUGUGAGGCUUAUCUUACACCAUACACAAAAAUAAACUCAAAAUGGAUUAAAGGCGUAGCAUAAGACCUGAAAGUAUAAAACUUCUAGAAGAAAACAGGAGAAAAACUCUGUUGCAUUGGUCUUGGUAGUGACUUCUUGGAUAAGUCCUAAAAGCACAGGCAGUGAAAGCAAAAAGAGACAAGCAGGAUUGCAUCAAACCCAAAAGCCUCUGUGCAGCAAAGGAGGCAACGAGCAGAGUGAAAAGGUGACCUAUGGACUUGGAGAAAGUGUCUGCAAACCAUGUGAUAUGGUUUGGCUGUGUCCCCACCCAAAUCUCAUCUUGAAUUCCCACCUGUUGUGGGAGGGAUCUGUUGGGAGGUAAUUGAAUCAUGGGGGUGGGUCUUUCUGUGCUAUUCUUGUGAUAGUGAAUGAGUCUCAUGAGAUCUGAUGGUUUUAUAAAAAUGGGAGUUUCCCUGCACAAGCUCUCUUCUCUUGUCUGCUGCCAUGUGAGAUGUGCCUUUCACCUUCCACCAUGAUUGUGAGGCCUCCCCAGCCAUGUGGAACUGUAAGUCCAAU